GAGUUCUGAUUAUUGAAAGGUGCUUGCAUCUUGAUUUAAUUUUGAACGAGUGGCGGACGGGUGAGUAACACGUGGGUAACCUGCCCUUAAGUGGGGGAUAACAUUUGGAAACAGAUGCUAAUACCGCAUAAAUCCAAGAACCGCAUGGUUCUUGGCUGAAAGAUGGCGUAAGCUAUCGCUUUUGGAUGGACCCGCGGCGUAUUAGCUAGUUGGUGAGGUAACGGCUCACCAAGGCAAUGAUACGUAGCCGAACUGAGAGGUUGAUCGGCCACAUUGGGACUGAGACACGGCCCAAACUCCUACGGGAGGCAGCAGUAGGGAAUCUUCCACAAUGGACGCAAGUCUGAUGGAGCAACGCCGCGUGAGUGAAGAAGGCUUUCGGGUCGUAAAACUCUGUUGUUGGAGAAGAAUGGUCGGCAGAGUAACUGUUGUCGGCGUGACGGUAUCCAACCAGAAAGCCACGGCUAACUACGUGCCAGCAGCCGCGGUAAUACGUAGGUGGCAAGCGUUAUCCGGAUUUAUUGGGCGUAAAGCGAGCGCAGGCGGUUUUUUAAGUCUGAUGUGAAAGCCCUCGGCUUAACCGAGGAAGUGCAUCGGAAACUGGGAAACUUGAGUGCAGAAGAGGACAGUGGAACUCCAUGUGUAGCGGUGAAAUGCGUAGAUAUAUGGAAGAACACCAGUGGCGAAGGCGGCUGUCUGGUCUGUAACUGACGCUGAGGCUCGAAAGCAUGGGUAGCGAACAGGAUUAGAUACCCUGGUAGUCCAUGCCGUAAACGAUGAAUGCUAGGUGUUGGAGGGUUUCCGCCCUUCAGUGCCGCAGCUAACGCAUUAAGCAUUCCGCCUGGGGAGUACGACCGCAAGGUUGAAACUCAAAGGAAUUGACGGGGGCCCGCACAAGCGGUGGAGCAUGUGGUUUAAUUCGAAGCAACGCGAAGAACCUUACCAGGUCUUGACAUCUUUUGAUCACCUGAGAGAUCAGGUUUCCCCUUCGGGGGCAAAAUGACAGGUGGUGCAUGGUUGUCGUCAGCUCGUGUCGUGAGAUGUUGGGUUAAGUCCCGCAACGAGCGCAACCCUUAUGACUAGUUGCCAGCAUUUAGUUGGGCACUCUAGUAAGACUGCCGGUGACAAACCGGAGGAAGGUGGGGAUGACGUCAAAUCAUCAUGCCCCUUAUGACCUGGGCUACACACGUGCUACAAUGGAUGGUACAACGAGUUGCGAGACCGCGAGGUCAAGCUAAUCUCUUAAAGCCAUUCUCAGUUCGGACUGUAGGCUGCAACUCGCCUACACGAAGUCGGAAUCGCUAGUAAUCGCGGAUCAGCACGCCGCGGUGAAUACGUUCCCGGGCCUUGUACACACCGCCCGUCACACCAUGAGAGUUUGUAACACCCGAAGCCGGUGGCGUA
rnacentral:rRNA from 1 species